rnacentral:hammerhead_ribozyme from 1 species
AUCCAGCUGACGAGUUCCAAACAAAAUGAUACGUGUGUCCUAGAU